GGUGCUGCUCCAGGAGGUGUGCUGGGGGGGUAGGUGGUGCUACAGCAGGUGUGCUGGGAGGUGGUGCUCCAGGAGGUGUGCUGGGAGGUGGUGCUCCAGGAGGUGUGCUGGGAGGGUGGGUGGUGCUCCAGGAGGUGUGCUGGGAGGUGGUGCUACAGGAGGUGUGCUGGGGGGGUAGGUGGUGCUACAGCAGGUGUGCUGGGAGGUGGUGCUCCAGGUGUGCUGGGAGGUGGUGCUCCAGGAGGUGUGCUGGGAGGUGUUGCUCCAGGAGGUGUGCUGCGGGGGUAGGUGGUGCUCCAGGAGGUGUGCUGCGGGGGUAGGUGGUGCUACAGGAGGUGUGCUGGUAGGUGGUGCUCCAGGAGGUGCGCCGCUCUCUGCCGGAUCUCUCCGUCGCCGUUAUACUGGACAGCUUCGAGCAGCGCUGUGCCGUUCUGCCCCACAAACUCCUCCGCGGCCUGGG